UAAGGAAUAUUGGUCAAUGGACGCAAGUCUGAACCAGCCAUGCCGCGUGAAGGAUUAAGGUCCUCUGGAUUGUAAACUUCUUUUAUCUGGGACGAAAAAAGGCGAUUCUUCGUCACUUGACGGUACCAGAUGAAUAAGCACCGGCUAACUCCGUGCCAGCAGCCGCGGUAAUACGGAGGGUGCAAGCGUUAUCCGGAUUCACUGGGUUUAAAGGGUGCGUAGGCGGGCAGGUAAGUCAGUGGUGAAAAUCCUGGAGCUUAACUCCAGAACUGCCAUUGAUACUAUCUGUCUUGAAUAUUGUGGAGGUAAGCGGAAUAUGUCAUGUAGCGGUGAAAUGCUUAGAUAUGACAUAGAACACCUAUUGCGAAGGCAGCUUACUACGCAUAUAUUGACGCUGAGGCACGAAAGCGUGGGGAUCAAACAGGAUUAGAUACCCUGGUAGUCCACGCCCUAAACGAUGGAUACUCGACAUACGCGAUACACUGUGUGUGUCUGAGCGAAAGCAUUAAGUAUCCCCACCUGGGGAAGUACGACCGCAAGGUCGAAACUC
rnacentral:rRNA from 1 species